GGCUGAAAGUCACAUUACGGGUGCGAAGCAAAUCAGUGAUGGGCCUGAGCUAUGCUGUUGGAAAAUAUUGUUGGGCCAGUGUAUGGGAGCAACACGGUAAUGAUGAUUAGGUGUUGGCUCUCCGAAGCACAGGGCAACACGAUGGGGAACCAGUGUUGGGCCAGUGUAUGGGAGUGACACGGUAAUGGUGACUAGGUGUUGGCUCGCCUAAAGCACAGGGCAACACAGUGAUUAUGCAGAUGGUCAGGGGCUAAAGAUUUGUGAAAUGCGGUAGGGUGACGAAAGUGGUGUCCAGUUUCACAACUCAACUGCUAGUAAUAAGAGUUGUCAAGGUGUUGCACCCAAGUGGGGUUUAAGCCAUUUAUCUCGUUAAAGUAGUGUCAAAGCGAUUUAGCAAAAUGGUUUGGCUAAUGUUUGGGUGUAGUAGCGCUUCGAGAUGUUUGAGAAAGAAACCCGGGGAAAAGAAACGGGUCUAGCGUGGGAAUAACGCUACAGUUGAUGCCUACGGUUAAUGCUAAGGACCACUGGAUAUAGACGGUUAGUUCACGGGAGGGACUGCAGCCCUCUAUGUGGAGUAACCUGUCUGCGGUGGAGACGAUUAGACGUGAAGACCUGGGGUAUGCUGUAGGUUAUGUUUGGGCCAGACCUAAAUUUCCGUGAGGGUUGAAAAAAUCAUCGUAGUGCCUUUUGUUGUCUUGGCAGUAGGAAGAUUUGUGAAUUGAUUGGGUGAUAUCCUGUGGUAUGAAAACAAGACGUGUGGCGAUACUCAUUGCUAAAGGAUGCUAUCGCAGUUGUGGUUGAAUUUGAUCGAAAUUGAUCGAAUAAAUUGAGAUGAUGGACCCUGUGUGACCUUGCGAUGAUGCAAGAAGAUGGGUCAAUUGGUGGAGUCGGUAAAUGACUCCAGGAUGUUAUGUAAGUGCCGUGAAGGGCGAGACUUACGAGUUAGAAGCCAACCAUGAAAUGUGAAAGUUGAAGCAUGCAAAAGUUUCAAGUAUGGGGAUCUCUAAUCCUGUGAUGUGAGUUGUGGCAGGCUGAACGUGUGGCUGAGGCACGGUUUGAAAUUUGUGAAGGCUUGCAAUUGCACGGUCUAGUAUUAGUCCUGAUGUGUCGAUGCGAAAAUGAGGAAGUAUCUUCAUGUGGCACUGGAUGGGUUUCCAGUUGUUGACACAGGAUUAGUUGCCAGGUGGUAGCACCUGAUGGCAAUGGUGAGAGCGUGAGGCUCGAGGACUGUGAAGUAAAGCCUUGUUGGGUGCCGUGUAUGCCUCUAGUAUAAAGGUUCAGCGGGUCCUGGUGGUUAGACCAGGCGAAUUUUGAGAAAGAGAUCCAAGGGGAUAAAAGAUGGUUGGUCAAGGUAAAGUUGUGCCGCUUGAAGGAGUGCUACUCCGUAACGAGAGCUAUAAAUGGUGGAGUUGAAAUGUGUCCUGGGUAGAACGUGAGAGGUUCUCCCGAGAAAGGUCGAGCAUAGGGCAACAACAUUAAAUGGACCUCCUAAGGCGCUACCACUCUAACGGGAUGCAUCACCCGGGGAAAGCCAGCAUGAUGGCAAGUGCCUGAGUAGGAAUGUGAGUCCUACGGCAUCUAGUGGAAGUGUGAGUUCCACAGGAGUAGUAAGGGUGAUUUCCAAUGGGUGGAGUUAAAUCAAAAAUCAUAGUCGAUGAGUGCAAGAGUAGUGCCUGGAGAAAAGUUGUGUUGGUUAUGAGCCGGGCGAUCCGGUUAAAGCUAAUCGAGUUGAUUAGAUGGAAGGUGAAGGCGAAUUUAAGAUGUCACCAAUGGGUGACUAGAGCUCAAAGGAAGAGCUUGUGGGACGAGAUUGGUUCUCAGGAAUCGUGUAGAAGUGAUGAAAUCACCUGGAAGCUGUGAGUAAUACAGCUAGAGGGAUGCCUUGGAGUUUGGGCAAUUAAUGAGAUUUAACCUCGUGGCUAAAGGUUAACGUUUAUGAAAGGAAAUCGGCUAGUGGAGCCAAUUGGUGACUAGCUGAGGGUAGUUGAUGGUGACCAAAGGCACCAAUUGGUGAUAGCAGCAGCGGCGAGCGGUGGCUAGCCAUGGUUGUGUUGCGUUGUGAGAGUAGUUGGUCAGUGGCGUUAGUGGAUCUGGAGUCGCGGUUGCGGCUGGAUGUGGCGCUAAGCGAUGGCAAGAGAUCGUCUUAGCUGAUGAUGAUGGCGUUAAGGCUAAUGUGGACGCUCACUGAGUGAUGUGAGAUGGUUGUAGCAAAAGUUAUAAGAAACCUGGGAGAAGCCAAAGUUUCUCAGGGAAUAAGCUAGCUGCUAUAAGUAUAGCAAAGUGAUUUGUGGAAAAUGGCCUAAGGGUGGGGUCGUGUUUGUUGUGUUAACCAGUAAGAUUCAAGGAGCAGCGAGUCUUUUGAGAUGACGUGGUGGUGUCAUCGUCGCUGUAAGAGAAUUCAUUGUUGUCAUGGUGUUGUCCCUGCCGAGUAGGACAAAGGGAACCAUUAUGCAUGGUUUAAAUCAGGUGUUUUAUCGCAAAUUGAGAAAGAACCUGAUUUUGGGAUUGCCAAAAAGUUCCAUGCUUAAAGAGUAAGAGGCUUUGUUGAGAAAUGUGAGAUUUAAAAAGUCCUAAUGAAAUUGAAGCUGGGCGAGUAAAUUUGGCUAGAAGACCGCUACAAGAGUAGGGGUGUUACCGUGUUAGCUUGUUGUGGUGCAGACCAAAGGUACGAGUCAUCCUACAAGUGCGAUGCAAUAAGUGAUUGUGCAAAUGGUAAUAAGCCAAUCACUUGUGCCACGCACUGUGGGUGAUGACGAGGGCUGAUUAAUGGUUCCGCGACCUUAAGCGCAAUGGUAGGAUCCUUGACUCGCGGUAGGGUUUAAUAGCCAAGAUAAGGCCUAGCAUGGGCAUGAUUGUGAAAGCCGAAUUGGAUGAAGUAUUGAAGAGGGGUUGCUCAGUGAAGAGUUCCCUUGUAUGGGUAAGAGACCCCUACUAGCGUGCGAUAUCGGCUAGUAAGUAUCCUUGUGUGCUUAAUGAGAAGAACUCCUGGUUGGGAGAUGGUUGUGGCCCGAGCAUGAUUAAGCUCGAGGUGAGAUUGUAAUAGUGCGUGCAUCUCCAUGCUCGAAGUAGACUCGAGUAGUGCACGUGUGAUUGAAAUGUGAAAUUGCCUAGUGCGGUGUUGGGUAUAUCGAUUAUGUGUAAUCGUAUCGAUAAAUGAGGGUCGGCUGGUCAAAGUAGAAGACCAUGUAUGAAAUGGUCGAAGUUGGCAGGGUGGGCCAAAUGGUUGCUUCCCUUGUAGUGCUAGCGUGAUAAGUUGAUCGGUAAUGAGAGAUUGCCAUGAGGAUCAACUCAAGUUAUGCAUGUGUGCGAUUUAUGACGGUAUGCCAUGAUAAAUGGGUGGCUGAGUGUCUUGUGGGCACUAAAAGAAACAUUGCGGCUGAUGAUCAAUGCUAAACGUUGCUGGUUGGACCAGCGUAAAAUCGUGGCCAUGUGUGAUUGGCAGUGGGAUACGUUGCCGUGUGUGAUCGGCGUAAAAUCAUAGUAGACUGAUCAGUGAUGCAAUGUUAGUGAGAGUUGUGUCGGUUGAUGCGAAAAAGGAGAAAUGGGAAGUAAACCUGUAAAGAGAUGCUUUGAGGUAGAGAAAAUCCAUCCGGAGAUGGAUAUCAUUGCAGUAAGCAUGACCAACGACCAGUGGUACGGUUUGGCGAGAGGCCAAAGCGGUGUUUGGUUAAUAAAUGUCCUCGAGAAGUGGAGGACCAAAUGCCUAAGUGAAACCUUGAGGUGAAAAUGACCUGAGGUAAAGGCUGAGAAGUGGCUUGGCUACGAAAUUCUCGAGCAUAGGAAUUUGGCAGGUAGCCUAAGAAUGUGAUUGGCUUGGGCUGAAGAGUAAGGCAAAGUGAAUUUCGAGGACGAAAUUCUUUAAGGAGGGUGGAAUGUAAUACCCGGUAUUACAUGGUAUUAAAAAUAAAUUAAGUUUGAUUAUUUUUGAAAGGAUCCCGGGUGGCCCGGGAAGUCCAAGAGUAAAUUCGAGAAAUUAAUUAAUAUAAAUUGUCGAGUUGGCGGCAGGGAGUGCCUCGGGAAUUGGAUGUCUAGGGAAGAGGGAAAGAGAUUGAUGAGCGUCUCAAGAUGAGAUUAAUGACGCUGGAAGCGAUCCGACCGGGAAUAAUUUUUGGAAUAAAUUAUGUAUAAGCUCGAGUGGGUGUCAAUACUGAAUAGUCAGAGGGGACCUCCUGGAAGCUGAGGGGACCCAAGGGGUGGUUCGGUUUUCUGAGUAAGGCAACCCUUAAGUGCUUUCGGGUCGAAUAAAGGUCCCGUGCAGGCGCAGGGUCAAGGUCGGUAUUCCCGAGUAGCGGUCGGUUAUUAAUUUCGUAUAAAUUGAGAUUUUGAGUGGCUUAAUUAUAAUUAAUUUAAGCAUUGGAAGGGCCCAAGUGUAAUUAUAAGAAUCUUCAAGAGCAAUUAUUAAUUGUUGAAGUGAAAUAAUGAGAAUUAAAGGGUUAAUAUGUAAAUAUAUAUAUAUAAGUAUUUAUGUGUAAUUGCCCGCGUGAGAGGAAGCUUCAAGGAAGUUUCCUAUGUCUUAUCUAUGCCAUUUGAAAUGGCCGACUAAAGAAGAUCCAAGGCAUCGCGAGAUCGGCCGAGAGAGAGAUCGAGCGAUUGAGAGAGAGAUCGCGAGAGUGAGAUCGAGAGAGAGCAUGCGAGAUCGAGAGAGAGAAGUAGCGGGAGGUUGCUGGUCGGUUCCAGCAGUCGAAGCAACAGCGGCCAUGGCCACUACAAUGGAGGUCGAACGAGGUGAGCUUGGCGGCCAAUGGUGGCCGCAAGUGGCUGGUAGCUCGCGGGGAAGCAGCCAAGGCGUGCGGUGGCUCAUGAGGCGACCAGAAGCUCGACAUCCAUGGCGGUUUCAGUGGCGUUGGUUGCAAUAGCAUGGCUGGAACAGAGGUGACCCUCGGUGGCGCUGCGAGUGGGUUGCGAUGGCACGAUGGAGGCAGCCGACGGUGGUCGGCAUUGGCUUGAGUAGUAGGGGCCGACAGCGUCACCAAUGGAGGCCAAGGGCUGCAACGACGAAGCUGGGCCAGUAGCGGCCAUGGCAGCUCGCUGGUGCGGCUGCAGCAGCGGGCGGUGGCUUGCGGUAGCUGGUGUCGGCUGGUGGAGGCAGCACGCGUAGCGACGGCUGGUGGAGGGCCAGCGGCGGUAGCCGGCAGCAGCCGAGCGCGUAGGCGCUGUGCGCGCGCAAAGAAGAUGAAGGAACAGUACGCGCGGGGGAAAAGCCAAAGAAGAAGAGAAAAUAGAAAAGAAAGAAAAAAAAAUAAAGAAAAAGAAAUAAUGGAAAGUCUGAAAUUUUGAGGAAAAUUCCAGAAAAUUGGGGAAAAGUCCUGGAAAUUAUAUUGAGGCUCGUAGAGCAUACCGGAAACUCGAGAAUGGGAUUUCGGGCAUGUGAUGGUAGCUUGGGAAGCAAUGUCGGCGUGGCCGAUUGGCCGAUUUCUCCUUCCAAUUGAAUGAGGUUCGACCAGAGGGACGGUGAUCCUAGAAGAACUUGAGAUUCAGGUUGGAAUUCGUGCCGAGGCAAAGAUAAAGCUUCGAGCCAGGUAAGGGACGGCCCUAUGUGGAGGUGGCCUUGCAAGUUGGUAAAUAUGUUUGAUCAUGUUUUUAUGUUGCAUUGGCAUGUAGUGGUUAUAUCUUGUGUGAUGCAAGAACUAGUGGACCUGUGGCCAUAUGGAGGACUAGUGGUAGGGGCUGAUAGGUUGAUGCCUCAAACCUUAGUGGGUUGUGAGGAUGUGUGAGCCUAGCCUCAUUUGCAUGCAUUUGGCAUACAUAAACAUGAUUAUAUUCAUAUUUACAUGCAUUGCACCCUUACUGAGUCUUUAUGACUCAUGAGGUUUUACCUCAUGUGUAGAUGAUGCAAGUCCGGAUGCAAGCAGGGAUGGCGCCGGGAGGCCGUUGUGGCAACUAGCUGAGUUGCCCGAGUUAUGUAUUUUUAAUAUUGCUUGUAUGUAGCCAGGGGGCGCGGUGUAUGUAUACCCUUAUGAGUAAAUGUCUGUGUUAUUGAGCUUAAAUGUAUUUAAUUGUGUAAUCAUCAUAGUGUGAUAGAUGAUUGUGAGAUUGCUUGUUGAAUGUGGCAUAGUUGGUAAAGCCAAGUUUCGGACCAAGUCAAGAUCAACAAGGUAUGUUCUCAUAAAUCCCCAAUACUCAGCGAAGUGUUUGUAUGCUAGCUUUGUGCCUGGGUCACCUCUGGCUUGCUAUGGGGUGAGCUGAAGAGAGGUGAAGCUCACUCAGGUUUCGGGUCUUGGUCCGCUGGAUUUUUCUUAUUUGAGUUGGGACCGAUUCCUGAGUGGAGCGAAGGGAAGGACGAAGCCUAGUUCCCACCUAGGGCGUUUCCUGUUGAAACAUAGUCCAACCCUUCAGUUGUGGUUGUCGGGUGAGUAAUCUGGUCGAUUAUUUAUCGGUGGCGCCCGUAAGUGGGAGCGGGUCAUUACACGUAAGGCAGAGAGAUAAGAAGUUUGUGUGUGGGGGAGAGGGAAACAGUGGGCAGUAAAAGUAAAACCACAGGCAGUACAGGAAAAAUAGUGGUUGGUGGAAGACGAAUUCUGUUAUUUUGAUUAACCGAAAUAUCUAAAUUUUUUUAUAAAUAUAACCGAACCGAUUUUUAGCUACUUAAUUAACCAACUGAACCGACCGGUUUAGUCGAUUCGGUUCGAUCAGUUCGGUUGAACCGAAAAAAUGCACACCUCUACUACUUGGUAAUGUUUUACUCUUGUGUUUAGUUUUGAUGAUGAAAACUAUCAAAUGGUUUUAUACUCUAAAUCAAAGUAUAUGAUUUGGAAACAAAAAUCAAUUUCAAGUGUUUUGUUAAAAUGAAAUCCAAAUGAUCUAUGCAAAAUGUUUCAAAGGCAAAAGACCGUGUUGUUGAGCCCAAGAAAUGUUAUUUCUCUAAUUUUAGAAGAUUAGCACAUUAUAAGGAGACAUAUAUGAAUUUGAGAGUGGUAAAUUUGUUAAAUCCUAAGUAUGUACUAAAACCAAAAUUCUAUUUUCUUAUAGUUAUGGAUUUUGAUUUUUUAGAUAUUUUUAUUAAAUCCAAAUGGGGGGUACUUUUUUAUUUACAUUUAUGUAUUAAAGUAAAUGGAAGUAAAAUAUAAAGUAAAGAAAAUGAGGACAUUUACUUAAACUAAAGAAAUGUAAAUAUGUUGUAAUGUUUUGUAUUAUCAGUACUUCAUCUAUCGACUACAUGCUUUCAAUCUGUCGACUAAGCAUUUCAUUCUGUCGACUAAGCCUUAGGCUCUGUCGACUAUCUCCUUCAAUCUGUCGAGUAUGUUUUGUUCUGUUGACUAUCUUGAUGGUUCUGUCGACAACUAAAUUCAAUCUGUCGACUAUCUCUAAUUUUUAUUCAUAUAAUUAGUCGACUAACCUAUUUAGUCUGUUAACAGUUUGUGUUUCUGAUAGUUUUCAAUAGCUAGUUUCUUAGUCUCCAACGGCUCAAAAAUGGCUAGUUUCGGGCAAAACUUUUGGGAAGCCUAUAAAUACAAAUUAAGGAGAUCAAGAAGAGGCUAAUGGAUGUAAAUGAAAUAAUUUGAGCUUACUGUUAUUCUCAUUUGUCUUUACAUCGAUUGUGCUUCAUUUUUCUCUCUUCAAGGCUUUAAUCUUUAUUUGUAUCAAUUCAUUCAAGCUUUGUUUGUAUUUUGACAGACAUUGUAACUAAGUGAUUUAUCUCUUAGAUCCUCUCUUUACUGUACACUUCUUGUAUUUCCUAAUUUGUUGUGCUAGAGGACUUGCUCUUUGAAGCAAGGGGUUGUAAUACCUAGAUAGGUACUAGAGGGCUUGCUUGUAUAAGCAAGACGCUUGUAAUUUCCUAGUCUUGGACUAAAGGACCUACUUGGUUAAGUAGGAGGAUUAGUGGAUUGAUUUACAAAAUCUUUAGUGAGGAAGUAAGGUAGUGGAUUAGGGUUAGUUUAAGUCAAACCAAUAUAAAUUCUUAUGUUCUCUUGUGCUUAUGUUAUUUGUUUAUUUAUCUUUUCAAACAUCUCUAUAUUUCUCACUUGAUUUAUAUAUUUAACCUUUCAUUGAAAAAGAUUUCAUAUUUUUCAAUCUUA